AUUGAACGCUGGCGGCAGGCCUAACACAUGCAAGUCGAACGGUAACAGGAAGAAGCUUGCUUCUUUGCUGACGAGUGGCGGACGGGUGAGUAAUGUCUGGGAAACUGCCUGAUGGAGGGGGAUAACUACUGGAAACGGUAGCUAAUACCGCAUAACGUCGCAAGACCAAAGAGGGGGACCUUCGGGCCUUUUGCCAUCGGAUGUGCCCAGAUGGGAUUAGCUAGUAGGUGGGGUAACGGCUCACCUAGGCGACGCUCCAUAGCUGGUCUGAGAGGAUGACCAGCCACACUGGAACUGAGACACGGUCCAGACUCCUACGGGAGGCAGCAGUGGGGAAUAUUGCACAAUGGGCGCAAGCCUGAUGCAGCCAUGCCGCGUGUAUGAAGAAGGCCUUCGGGUUGUAAAGUACUUUCAGCGGGGAGGAAGGGAGUAAAGUUAAUACCUUUGCUCAUUGACGUUACCCGCAGAAGAAGCACCGGCUAACUCCGUG
rnacentral:rRNA from 1 species